rnacentral:rRNA from 1 species
UACGUAGGGUGCGAGCGUUAAUCGGAAUUACUGGGCGUAAAGCGUGCGCAGGCGGUUCGUUAAGUUCGUUGUGAAAGCCCCGGGCUCAACCUGGGAACUGCAAUGGAAACUGGCGGGCUUGAGUGUGGCAGAGGGGGGUGGAAUUCCGCGUGUAGCAGUGAAAUGCGUAGAGAUGCGGAGGAACACCGAUGGCGAAGGCAGCCCCCCUGGGCCAACACUGACGCUCAGGCACGAAAGCGUGGGGAGCAAACAGGG